GAUUUAGGGGAUGAGGAUAGGUCUGGGGACGGGGUUUGGGGAUGGCUAACUGCGCCCUUCCUAUGCAGCGUUAGAAAGCAGCACACAAAAGUACUCGUUAUCGCUGUUUCCUCGUCUAAAACCAGCCCCGCUCGCGCCAGCUCCCCUAACCUCACCCCAAAAAACCCGUGCGCAAGCAGCCGCCGGCGACGACGACGGACCUGCGAGAAAUGCCGGUCUUGAUGCCGGGGCUGGGCGUACUGCCGAGGUCGCUGCCGCACACUCGGCUUUCCUCGUGAGAAUUCGCUGGGACCCAAGGACGGCACAGCAGCGUUUUCUGCUGCGUUUCAAGCUCCAUCGGACAGGAACAUUUUUGCUCAAGGACUUGAUUCAUCGGAUGAAAUCACAUAAUGACUCUUCGCUAGCUCUGGGCAAGAGCAUGAGAUGUCUCAGGCUACCGACAAGAACGAGCCGCGGGUCCCAGGAUCUGCGCAAAAUCAUUGCUUUUUCAUAACAAGCAGUGCUCUUUUCACAGCAAAUGGACACGUUCGAAUCGCCGAUCUCGCAGACCCAAAUUUCGCUGGGGAGUCUCCUGCCACGCGGCUCAGCCCUGCAAGCUGCGGCGCUUCAUUUGAAGCGCCCCGAAUUUCCCGAGACAACACAUAAAUUCACUCAGAACGUGAUUUACCCAAAACGGUGACGUUUCAGCGAUCCCUGCAGCGGAGGGGAACGCGUUUCUGACCCGUAAAAGCGCUAUUUUCAGCUCAGCACUGAGGCCCGCUUGAAAACAUUAGGGCAGAGGAAACACGCACCGGUUCCCUUGCAGAAACAGAUGUCACGGCGAUAUUAGGCUCUACAGACUUAUUUCUUUUGCAUUGCAUUUACGUAACUCUCAGUAAAAUAAUAAAAUAAAAUAAAAAAUCUGCCGCCGGUGACA
rnacentral:lncRNA from 1 species